UACACCACGCAGGGGUAGAGGAGUU
rnacentral:piRNA from 1 species